GUCGAACGGGCCGCAAGGCCAGUGGCGCAAGGGUGAGUAAGGCGACGGUAACCAACCCCGCGGUUGGGCAUAGCCGAGGGAAACUUCGGGUAAUUCCCAGCGACGCGGCGGCCCGGCAUCGGGCUGCCGCCAAAGAUUAAUCGCCGCGGGACGGGCCGUUGUGGUAUUAGGUAGUUGGCGGGGUGACGGCCCACCAAGCCUGCGAUGCCUACCGGGCGUGCGAGCGUGGCCCGGCACACUGGGACUGAGACACUGCCCAGACUCCUACGGGAGGCUGCAGUCGAGAAUCUUCGGCAAUGGGCGCAAGCCUGACCGAGCGACGCCGCGUGGAGGAUGAAGGCCUUCGGGUUGUAAACUCCUGUCGAGGGGGAGGAAGGCGCAAGCUUGACCGAUCCCUGGAGGAAGCACGGGCUAAGUUCGUGCCAGCAGCCGCGGUAAGACGAACCGUGCGAACGUUAUUCGGAAUCACUGGGCUUAAAGCGCGUGUAGGCGGGCCGCCACGUCGGCUGCUGAAAUCCCCCGGCUCAACCGGGGAACGGGCACCGAUACGAGCGGCCUUGAGGGGGGUAGGGGGGUCUGGAACUUCCGGUGGAGCGGUGAAAUGCGUUGAGAUCGGAAGGAACGCCCGUGGCGAAAGCGAGGCCCUGGACCCUUUCUGACGCUGAGACGCGAAAGCCAGGGGAGCGAACGGGAUUAGAUACCCCGGUAGUCCUGGCCGUAAACGAUGGGCACUGGGUAGGGGGCUCGCCGAUGGGCUCCCUGCCGUA
rnacentral:rRNA from 1 species